UCCCGCCACCCUUCCCAAGGGUGUCUCCUCCCAAGACUUCGGGCCGCCCCCUCGGGGGUGGCCUUUUUUGUCUCGGCA
rnacentral:sRNA from 1 species